CUUUUAAAAUUAGCCAAAAUGUCUAUAUUUGUGGUGCUGGCUUGUCCGGCUAUGACGCUAAACGCUUUGCGAAAUAGACGUAGCGGACCCGGGGGCGGUACCCGGCGCCUCCACCAGGAGCACACUAAAGGCCGAAUCAUGGCCCAAGCGGUUUUCCAGUGUGCUGCUGAUGGGGGCGAAAUAGGAUCGACGCGCGUAAUAAAGGCACGGUUUGCGUUCGGCAUGGCUCCACCGUUAUCGGGCCAUUUCUACAAGUGCCAAUGAUAAUGAAAUGGUGCUCGCUGCCUAAUUGAAAGGUAAGCGCGGUUUGGGGGGCACCGGGCAACAGAAGCCCCCUA
rnacentral:tmRNA from 1 species